rnacentral:rRNA from 1 species
ACGUGUUACAAUGGGGGGUACAGAGGGCCGCUACCACGCGAGUGGAUGCCAAUCCCUAAAACCCCUCUCAGUUCGGACUGGAGUCUGCAACCCGACUCCACGAAGCUGGAUUCGCUAGUAAUCGCGCAUCAGCCACGGCGCGGUGAAUACGUUCCCGGGCCUUGUACACACCGCCCGUCAAGCCAUGGGAGCCGGGGGCGCCUGAAGUCCGGGACCGCGAGGACCGGCCUAGGGCGAAACUGGUAACUGGGGCUAAGUCGUAACAAGGUAUC